rfam:Stegodyphus mimosarum contig54855, whole genome shotgun sequence.
GGCUUCGUGGUGUGGUGGUCAGCACGCUGGGCGCGUACUCCAGAGGUCCGUGGUUCGAGUCCCGGCGAAGGCG